rnacentral:rRNA from 1 species
UAAUACCAGCUCUCCGAGUAGUAGGGACGUUUAUUGGGCCUAAAGCGUCCGUAGCCGGCUCAGCAAGUCUCCCGUUAAAUCCAGCGAUUCAAUCGUUGGACUGCGGGAGAUACUGCUAGGCUAGGAGACGGGAGAGGUCGACGGUAUUCCCGGAGUAGGGGUAAAAUCCUAUAAUUCCGGGAGGACCACCAGUGGCGAAGGCUGUCGACUAGAACGAGCUCAACGGUGAGGGACGAAAGCUGGGGGAGCGAACCGGAUUAGAUACCCGGGUAGUCCCAGCUGUAAACGAUGCGGGCUAGGUGUUAGGGUGGCUACGAGCCACUCUAGUGCCGCAGCGAAGGCAUUAAGCCCGCCGCCUGGGGAGUACGGCCGCAAGGCUG